rnacentral:tRNA from 1 species
GCGGAAGUGGCGAAAUUGGCAGACGCACCAGACUUAGGAUCUGGCGGGUUACCCCGUGGGGGUUCAAGUCCCCCCUUCCGCA